UUUCUGUUGCCAGAAAACUAGAUGAUCGCAGGUGAAAUGACAAAUUUUAAUCCGCUUUUGACACGAUUCAGGCUGUGACAUGCUCCUUGGCCGACCAAGUGAAUCGAAGUUGGCUCCACUUAAAAUCUGAAGCUGGUUUUGGUGGACCCACGUAAGUUUCAGCUUUGGAGUCGGACCCAACAGCCCUGUACGUGUGUUCCCGUUUAUCCGAUAACCUUCAUUCAACAAAAGAGAAAACUAGCUGUCUUGGUCUCUUAGAAAAGUAUUUGGGACCAUCUGUUACGAACCUACAAUACCCUGGCCGGGUUAAAGAUGGUGACACAAGAGCUGGAGCUCUGAGGGUGGAAACAACUCUUGUCCGGGGAUUUGUUGCUUUAGACCUGGUCUUUGCACCUCGGUCCGGUCCGUUCAAAAUAGUGCAAGAAAAGAAGCAAAAAAGAGAAAGAAACAAAAGGAAAAGCAAGGUAGAAGCCAUACCCACUUUGGCCCUUCUCUUUUUGCUUUGCAUUAUUCGGUUGUUUGCUUGUAAGACGAUUACUACGAGACUACAAGCGUCCCCAUGCAUGUUUUAAGCAAGUUUGAAUGGACCUUGGACCGGUCGGUCCUACCUACCUAGCGUUCCAAAACAGUACUUUCACAGAGAGAGAGAGAGAGAUGAAAGCAGAAGAUAAAGCGAGAUUAUAACAAAUCAAAAGGCUCUUUAAUAGGUGGGAUUGCUUUACUUGGAGGGCACCAGUCACAAAAGAAGCCAAAAACCACGGCAAGGAUAGCCCAACUGACAACAUUUGUCACACGCCUUGUGGGUGUGGCUGGCUGCUAGAACAUUUCUUGGUCUUUGCUCCAUCUACUUCUAUAGCAAACCAAUCCGUUUGCUUGGAUGCUAUAUGCGGAAGAUCCCCAUAUACUUCACCAGCCCCUUCCUCCUCCCCUCUCUAUCUCUCUCUCUCUCUCUCUCUCACUCUCAAAGUAAAGGAAGGUGACUACUAAAGUGACUGAAAAAAGCUCUUCCCAUCUUUGUCAAGAAUCUCUAAUGUGUAUUUUGUGCGAGGGAAGCUUAGACUCUUGAGAACCCCCCACCACCAACACCACCUCAUAAAGCAGAGCACUUUGGCAAAGCAAAGAUUUUUUGGCUAAUUUCCUAGGAGUGUUUAAAGAUAGCCCAACUCAUAGUUACAUGCAUGCAUCCAAGAUGACACCCCCCCUCCCAAUCCAUCUUCUGCGCAAACGAAGCUGCUUCAAUGCCUCGGUGCACUACUAUGCUCUGCCCGGCGGCCGCCCCAACUUCCCUGCUCUCCUGAGAAACACAUCCAUAGAAUGGUGGUCAGACAUGGAGCAACAACAACAACAGGCCGCAACAUGGUCUCGCAAAUUCUUUAAGCUCAGACGGAAACAAAAGAAGCUGGUAGAUAAAACGCAUUGCGCUAUCCAAGUGCUGGUAACUUAGAGACAAGCUUUAGCAAUCAUGUCACUCUUUGAAUGUCUGUAGUACGACAUUUAUGUUGCUUUCAAGACUAAUGCUGGUUUUUGACAAGAUAUUAGAAGGAUGACAUGUCGAGUUGAAGGUGUUCAUGGAACAUGAUGAACAGCAAGCUCAAGCUAUCCACAUUGCAUGUGCAAGACUAGUGUAAUGUUGCAUUGGUUUUGGGUGCGACGAAUUGGCACAAGGAGAACGCAUAAUGAUUCAAACUUGUGAAAUUGGAUUAUUGAUCAUAGUCCUUAUAGACCUCAAAGCUCCCAAAAAGAGGGUGUUAUUUUGUAUGACUAAUAAAACCAUUAAAAGAAAUUGCUUCAUUUGAUGCUUAUUAGAU